GAAUCAUAUAGUUCCAUCAGUUCAAACAUAUAAUAUCUUAGUGCAUGGUUGGUGCAGAGGAGCUAGAAAAAUUGAUAAAGCAAAUGAAACAGUUAAAGAUAUGGAAGAACAUGGUUUAAGCCCUGAUGUGUGUACUUAUACUUGCUUCAUUGAAGCCUAUUGUCGUGAAAAAAACUUCCCUAAAGUUGAUGCUAUUUUCAAAGAGAUGCAAAUGAAGGGGCACUCACCAAG
rnacentral:misc_RNA from 1 species